rnacentral:rRNA from 1 species
UACGCAGGGAGCUAGCGUUGUUCGGAAUUACUGGGCGUAAAGCGCACGUAGGCGGGCUCUUAAGUCAGGGGGGAAAUCCCGAGGCUCAACCUCGGAACUGCCUUUGAUACUGAGAGCCUUGAGGUCGGGAGAGGUGAGUGGAAUUCCUAGUGUAGAGGUGAAAUUCGUAGAUAUUAGGAAGAACACCAGUGGCGAAGGCGGCUCACUGGCCCGAAUCUGACGCUGAGGUGCGAAAGCGUGGGGAGCAAACAGG